GGUCUGAUUGACUGGGGUGUGAAAUGUAACAGCCAGUGGUGUACUUCAGCUAGGACUGUCAGUCCCUAUAUUCAUGAGGAAAAACACCUACAUAACCUUAUACAUGGGCGCAGACAUUUUGGACACCCAAAGUUGUGCGGAGAAGAAAAUGCUACACGGCACAUGAUUGGUCAUUAAGAGAAAAGACUUGUUAUGUAUUUGACAAGUGAAAUAAAGGUGAUAAAAAUCUCAUAUCAAGACUUAGGCUUCUUUGAGAUAUGUAGGAGUUACAGCUAUGCAUCAUCAAGAAGGAGAAGUUUAAUGAACCCUCCCCUCUUACAAUGAACAACAUAUGGACACUCCCAGGAUGAACACUUUGCAUUCAUUAA